ACGGGAGGCAGCAGUGGGGGAUAUUGCACAAUGGGGGAAACCCUGAUGCAGCGACGCCGCGUGAGUGAUGAAGUAUUUCGGUAUGUAAAGCUCUAUCAGCAGGGAAGAAAAUGACGGUACCUGACUAAGAAACACCGGCUAACUCCGUGCCAGCAGCCGCGGCAAUACGGGGGGUGUAAGCGUUGUUCGGAAUUACUGGGCGUAAAGGGCGUGCAGGCGGUCUCCGCAAGUUGAAUGUGAAAUCCCCGAGCUUAACUUGGGACGUGCGUUCAAGACUGCGGGACUUGAAUACGGGAGAGGGUCGUGGAAUUCCUGGUGUAGAGGUGAAAUUCGUAGAGAUCAGGAGGAACACUCGUGGCGAAGGCGACGACCUGGACCGAUAUUGACGCUGAGACGCGAAAGCGUGGGUAGCAAACAGGAUUAGAUACCCUGGUA
rnacentral:rRNA from 1 species